rnacentral:rRNA from 1 species
AUUGAACGCUGGCGGCAGGCCUAACACAUGCAAGUCGAGCGGAUGAAGGGAGCUUGCUCCUGGAUUCAGCGGCGGACGGGUGAGUAAUGCCUAGGAAUCUGCCUGGUAGUGGGGGAUAACGUCCGGAAACGGGCGCUAAUACCGCAUACGUCCUGAGGGUGAAAGUGGGGGAUCUUCGGACCUCACGCUAUCAGAUGAGCCUAGGUCGGAUUAGCUAGUUGGUGGGGUAAAGGCCUACCAAGGCGACGAUCCGUAACUGGUCUGAGAGGAUGAUCAGUCACACUGGAACUGGGACACGGUCCAGACUCCUACGGGAGGCAGCAGUGGGGAAUAUUGGACAAUGGGCGAAAGCCUGAUCCAGCCAGGCCGCGUGUGUGAAGAAGGUCUUCGGAGUGUAAAGCACUUUAAGUUGGGAGGAAGGGCAGUAAGUUAAUACCUUGCUGUUUUGACGUUACCAACAGAAUAAGCACCGGCUAACUUCGUG